rnacentral:rRNA from 1 species
GGAGCUUGCCCCGCUGACGAGUGGCGAACGGGUGAGUAAUGCAUCGGAACGUACCCAGUCGUGGGGGAUAACGUAGCGAAAGUUACGCUAAUACCGCAUACGUCCUGAGGGAGAAAGCGGGGGACCGUGAGGCCUCGCGCGAUUGGAGCGGCCGAUGUCGGAUUAGCUAGUUGGUAGGGUAAAGGCCUACCAAGGCGACGAUCCGUAGCGGGUCUGAGAGGAUGAUCCGCCACACUGGGACUGAGACACGGCCCAGACUCCUACGGGAGGCAGCAGUGGGGAAUUUUGGACAAUGGGCGAAAGCCUGAUCCAGCCAUGCCGCGUGAGUGAAGAAGGCCUUCGGGUUGUAAAGCUCUUUCAGCCGGAAAGAAAUCGCGCAGGAUAAUACUCUGCGUGGAUGACGGUACCGGAAGAAGAAGCACCGGCUAACUACGUGCCAGCAGCCGCGGUAAUACGUAGGGUGCGAGCGUUAAUCGGAAUUACUGGGCGUAAAGCGUGCGCAGGCGGGUAUGUAAGACAGAUGUGAAAUCCCCGGGCUCAACCUGGGAACUGCGUUUGUG